GCAACUUAUACCCAUUGGUUGGUCAGAUUAUCCCAUUUUGAGCCAGCUAAGAUUCAAAGUUGCUAAAUUAAUUUGCGUGACUUACCAUAUAAAUGAGUCAAUAAUUCUUAUUUAUAGAAGUAGAAGCGUUACA
rnacentral:snoRNA from 1 species